UGCCCUGCGAUGGUGUGGGUGUGGCGAAAGCCCCCCGGACGUAGUUACAUACGUUAGGUCACCUUAGGCAGGGCAUU
rnacentral:sRNA from 1 species